rnacentral:rRNA from 1 species
UAUCAAUUAAGCGGAGGAAAAGAAACUAACAAGGAUUCCCCUAGUAACGGCGAGUGAACCGGGAAGAGCUCAAAUUUGAAAUCUGGCGUCCUCAGGGCGUCCGAGUUGUAAUCUAUAGAGGCGUUUUCCGUGCCGGACCGUGUCCAAGUUCCUUGGAACAGGAUAUCAAAGAGGGUGACAAUCCCGUACUUGACACGACGACCGGUGCUCUGUGAUACGUCUUCUACGAGUCGAGUUGUUUGGGAAUGCAGCUCAAAAUGGGUGGUGAGUUCCAUCUAAAGCUAAAUAUUGGCGAGAGACCGAUAGCGAACAAGUACCGUGAGGGAAAGAUGAAAAGCACUUUGGAAAGAGAGUUAAACAGUACGUGAAAUUGUUGAAAGGGAAACGAUUGAAGUCAGUCGUGACCGAGAGGCUCAGCCGGUUCUGCCGGUGUAUUCCCCUCGGUCGGGUCAACAUCAGUUUUGUCCGGUGGAUAAGGGCGGUAGGAAGGUGGCACCCUCGGGUGUGUUAUAGCCUGCCGUCGCAUACAUCGGGUGAGACUGAGGAACGCAGCUCGCCUUUAUGGCCGGGGUUCGCCCACGUCCGAGCUUAGGAUGUUGACAUAAUGGCUUUAAACGACCCGUCUUGAAACAA